ACUCACGCAACUGCAGGACGCUGUGAACUCGCUUGCAGAUCAGUUUUGCAAUGCCAUUGGUGUAUUACAGCAGUGUGGUCCCCCUGCCUCUUUUAGUAACAUUCAGACAGCAAUUAAUAAAGAUCAACCAGCCAAUCCUACAGAAGAGUAUGCCCAGCUUUUUGCAGCACUGAUUGCACGAACAGCAAAAGAUAUUGAUGUUUUGAUUGAUUCCUUACCCAGUGAAGAGUCUACAGCUGCUUUACAGGGUCUCUCUACAUAGCCUUGGCGGUCCUGAAACUCCUCUUGCAAGAGCAGCCGUCUCUCUGGUCUCAACAAUGAUGUUUGUUUUUAAAAGACUUUGAAUAUAAAGAAUGAGAACCCACGCUGAACCUUGAUGCAGUCAGAGGCGGGAGAUAAAGAGAACAAACAGCUUCGCUUGUUUUUAAUCUGCGCUUCCGGAAUCUCUGUGGAUUCUUGUAUGGUAGAUCUUCUAAAUAAAAAUUUUGACCUCU
rnacentral:lncRNA from 1 species